GAUGAACGCUGGCGGCGUGCUUAACACAUGCAAGUCGAACGAAGCACUUUAUUUGAUUUCCUUCGGGACUGAUUAUUUUGUGACUGAGUGGCGGACGGGUGAGUAACGCGUGGGUAACCUGCCUUGUACAGGGGGAUAACAGUUGGAAACGGCUGCUAAUACCGCAUAAGCGCACAGCAUCGCAUGAUGCAGUGUGAAAAACUCCGGUGGUAUAAGAUGGACCCGCGUUGGAUUAGCUAGUUGGUGAGGUAACGGCCCACCAAGGCGACGAUCCAUAGCCGACCUGAUAGGGUGAGCGGCCACACUGGGACUGAGACACGGCACAAACUCCUACGGGAGGCAGCAGUGGGGAAUAGUGCACAAUGGGCGAAAGCCUGAUGCAGCGACGCCGCGUGAGCGAAGAAGUAUUUCGGUAAGUAAAGCUCUAUCAGCAGGGAAGAUAAUGACGUUACCUGACUAAGAAGCACCGGCUAAAUACGUG
rnacentral:rRNA from 1 species